GUAUGGGCAAAGCCGCCGAAAGGCGGCGACGCAAAGCUGUGAGUCUACGGCAGAGAGACUGCUACGAUCGUCAGGCUGCAG
rnacentral:ncRNA from 1 species